GGGGCAGGCUCUGCCUUCCUUGUUAGAUAAAAGAUCAAAAGAGAACGUUCUGACUCGCACUCAUUCUCCAGUCAGUUUUGACCCAAACAGUUCUCUCCCACUUUAAAGGCGUCUCCCGUAAGACUGGCUAGAUCAAGUUACAGACACGCUAAACUGCCAAGGACACUUGGGACUAGGCUUGUGCAGCCCUGUUCGGAUCUGCUUGUAAAAGUGGGAAUGGGAUUCACGAAGGAUCAGGCUGUGUACAUUCAAGGUUCGUGGCACAGGGGCGUACACACCCUUCUGUCCCCAUACCUGCCAUUUGCAUCAGCGGCCACAAAGGAGAACAAGAAAGCCUAUAUUAUCACCUGGCUAGAAAGAAGAUUUCUCACAGGCUACCUUCUUCUACUACAAGCUUUACAAAGCCUUUCAUUGUCCAUGAGGCAACUUGGUGUGAAUUAGAAAAAGACACCAAACUCAAGGCUUGAAGAAUGGAUGCCAACUCUACAAUUCAUCUGGAAGAGCUGUUGAGGAAGGACGCCCAGAUUUGGAAAAGAAGAGCAAAGGAAGC
rnacentral:lncRNA from 1 species